GGAGGGAAUGAUUUCUUUUGGAGAUUGCUCCUCUUGGAGUCUUCUCAGCUAAGCCCAGGAUAAGGCUGCUGGGGACGUGGCAGUACGUGGCUGGAGCUGCACAGCUCCCCCAGCACCUCCUGGAGCUGCUGCUCAUCGAUCACGGCCACCUCCACGUGGAGCCCAGCGGCGGGCAGGAGCUGCUCAUCACCCAGCACGUGGCAGUGUGAGGCACCCGCUUUCCAUCCCCGGUCGUUUUCUCCCACCCCAUUCCCUCUGCGGGUGCCCCAGCAUCCCCAUUCUCUGCAGGGGUGACCGAUGCCUCUCCAACAACUCCACCUCCAUCCACCUCGGUGCCAACGGCACGGCGCUGCUCAAGGAUGCCACAACGCAGCGCAUCCUGGGGGCGGUGACAAAGCUCAGCUCUGAGGACACUCUGCUCAUCCAGCACCACGUGCAGAGGGAGAGGACGUAUUCAGCUCUGUAUCUCUAUGCCCGCAAUCGGACGGUGAGCAGCACGCAGCAGGAGGAGCUGGGGCAGCAGGCAGAGAGCCUGGGGCUGAGCAGAGGGGCGGUGGUGUACGCGCCGUGGAGGAAGGAGCUGUGCCAACCGGGAGAGAAGGGAAGGAUGGAAGAAAGGAAGGAUGGAGGAGCGCGAGGCACAGCCCUGCCAAGCACCCCAACGGGGAGCCUGCAGCAAUAAAUGCUUUGCUCAGAGCUGUAGCACCACCCGAGCAGGACGUGCAAAAAGGAACCGAGCGCCUGGUUUAUUUUGCGUGUCGUUGCCCCAGCGUUUGGGACGAGCCGUCCUGCAGCGAGCCGGGCUGCGGGGCCGGCAGUGGGUGAUGGUGGGCACCGCUGGGCACGGGGUGAGCGGAUCCCUGCAGGGUGAUGGCUGGCCAGGAGAGGGCAAUCGGCGCCCGCUCGUGAGGCUGUGCCCGGCUGCGGAUCUCACCCAUCCCACGGGAUUUUGCUUCUCCAAAAAGGGCUCGAUGUGUUAUGGCGAAGUGCCGGGGUGCAGCGCGGUUUUGCUCUGUGGUUGUGGAAGCUGGAGGUUAAACAAGGCCAGGGCUGAGCUGGAAGGUAACCGAGGCUCAGCUCUCAUCCAGCAAUUAAGCACUAAAAAUAUCUCCUAAAAAAGGACGCAGAGCAGCAGAGCCCUGCGCUGCCCCCCGCUGCGGCUCCGGGUUUGUCCGUGCCCUGUAAGGCAGCGCUGCUCUGUUGAGCCUUCACUAAAGGAAACGGGGCUGGAAGUGUUCUACGAAGCGAGAUGAGCAGAUCCGCUCCCGGUCCCAGGGCAGGGAGCUCCCAACGCUCUGCUGCCACAUCCCCACCAGCUGCACCCCUCACCCUGCUGCAGUCCAGCAGCCGAAGGGCUGGGCAGGGCAGCGGGUGCUGCCAGGGGCUCUGAGAACACCCUGAGUGACAUCACGGAACGCAGCCCUCAGAUUGCAAGGAGCAGCACUCGAUAAGUAGAUUUAUGGAUGAGUAAGAGCCUUGAAUUGCAAUUGGAGACGCAGGAACCAACCCCAGCACAGCCCCAGCUGCACGCUGUUGGACACAGAGGCUGCUUGCACUACCAGCUGUGGGCUCCUGGCACUUUCAGCUCACAGGUGGUUUUUGUUUAAGACAGAAAUGGAACAAAACCUCUUCUGAGAAUCUCUAAAGCCUGUUUUUUUCAUGGGCACAAGUGCACUGCAGAGCUCCCACGUUUUCCAGGACGCUCCUCUGAGUGCAGACACUGAACAGAUGAGCAAAACGCAACAGCACACAGCUAAGCUGACAGCACCCACGUGUCCCUGACCCUUCACCAUCAUUAAUUGUUUUUUUUUAAAUCUCAUUUCCACUCUUCUUUCCCUCAGGAAGAAUUCUGUUCUCCCAGGUCCUUGUAGGGAAAACUGCUCCCACCAUCAGCAUCCUUGGUGACAAUCAUCCUAAGGAGGAAAAAUCUGAUCACAGGCAGCACCAACCCCUCAUAGAGAGACAUGGACACGAGGGGUCUCUUUGACAGACCUUUAUUAGCAGACUGUUCCCUACAUGAAGAAUCUGAGUUAGAUUUGCAUUAUAACAAUUUGUGGUUACAGCUACAAAGACAGUUGUCAUUUUGCAUUGAUUUUUGCAUUCUGAUAUUCAUUGUCUCAUUAGGCCACACUGGUAGGAAGAAGCCACUGCAAAAAUUUACCAUAGAUCUUAAAAAAAAAAAAAAAAAAAAA